GGCGUUGAGGUUUGGGGGUGUAGGGGGCUGGGAUGGGGGAGUAGCAGUAAAGAUGCAGGCACCUGCUGUUCCAGGCCACCCAGGGAGCUGGGACAGGGGAGGCUGGGAGAAAGCAUAGGCCAGGUCAAGGUUCCUGCAAUGUCCCACUGAGAGCUGUGUACAAACUGUGCAUUCCAUUCCAACAAAAAGAGUGUACUUUAUCAAGAAAAGUUGUCCUAUAACAGAAGUCCAAAGAGUGCUUCUUAGAAUGGGUGGAAUUGAAUCUAGAUGGUCUUGAUCUAUAAGCAGGACUCGUGCGCAAUGAUGCAUAUGUGACAAACCCUAAAGACACAGUCUGUUAAAUAAUCCUGGACUGUGGGAGGACGUGCUGAUCUAAAUGAUUGGGCACAGCAUCACUGGCAUGGACAGCGUGGGGAUCAAUGUUAAAGUGUUUUAUGGUUCUCCACACGCUUCAGAGAAUAACUGGAGAGUGAAUCUAGACUUUUUCGAGAAGAUGUGUUAAAAUACCUAGGACCACCACUGACAGAAGACAUACAGCAAACAGAAGUCAAAACAUAUGAAAUAAGCCUGGCAAGCCUGAGGUCAUGAGUUUGAGUCCCGCUACCAAAAAAAAAAAAUCUAAAAUGAGAAUUGAGUGCAGGGAACAAAUUGGAAUGAAAAAAAAACAAAAUUCACAAUCCAAAAUACAGAAAGAAGUAGGAAGGUAAAAAUAAAAACAAAAAUGCAGGCAGAAAUAAAAUGAAUAGAAUCAAUGUAAAUCUACCAGUGAUUACUGUAAGUGAACGGUACUCAACUCUACGUGGAAAAGACGCAUUGUCAGACUAUGUUUUCGAAAAGCAAAUUCACCUUUAUGAGUCACUGCCUCUAAAACUAAAAUGACAAAAAUAAGAUUGAGAGUAGCAUGGAAAAAGAUGUGCAGGCAUCUGGUAAGGUAAAGCCCAGGAGGCAGCAAUUUCAAAGUCACUCAAACUGACUUUGAGGCAGAGCAGUAUUACUGGCAGAGGGGGCCACACCCUAAUGCGAAACCCUUCAUUUCCUCAGGCACUUAGGACAACUGUACAUUUGUGGGACCUCCCUUGUCUCUCCUUGAUUCCUCCUCUCCUGAGGAGUAGUUAGCAAGCACCAGGACUUGGUUCCUACAAUUUCUCUACCAUGAUUGUUCUUGGUGAUCACAUUCAGCUCUAUGGCAUCAAAUACAAGCUAUGCACUAACUCUGAAAGCUGUACCUUCAGCCAAUAGCCUACUGUGAGCUCCAGACUCAUCCAGAAAUCCAUUGUCUCUGUGACAUUUCCUUUUGGGUAUCUAAUAGUCUCUGCAACCUACUCCAUCAAAAGCUAAGCCUUUACUCUCACUCCCCAAACAUGUGCUUCUCCCAGGCUUUAACAUCUCAGAAGAAGAUCCUCCCAGAAGUUAAGGUCAAGAGAGGAGCAAAUUCACACAUAAUUGGCUGUGUCCAAGUCGGUGAGAGAAAACGAGAAGAGGGGACCAGGAGAGCUGAACACAGAAAAAGGACAUGCUGGAGAAAUCCAUCCCUGAUGUGCAAGGCAGACAGCUCAUUUCUGUAAUAUGCCAAGAUCUCCUACAUAGAGUGAGAGUUUUGCUGUUCCUCGUGGAAUAUCUGACCCCACCUGACUGGAAUCCCUCCUCUCCUCAUGCAGGAGCAGAGGUGUGUUGUUAUCCUCGGGUCGUGCGUCCCAGCGUGGUGCUCUCAUAGUUGAUGGCAAUGGAAUUCCUGAAGAGAGACUUCACAUCCCGAGCGUGGGUGCACCAAGCAUUAGGUUUGUAGCCUGGAUGGAAUCAAAGGAAAAGCCGAAGGAAGGCCGCUUUCUGCCUGCCCUGCUAUGGACUGUCUCCGGUGCCAUGCCGCCCUGCCUCAGAGCCAGCCAACGGCAGACUGAA